rnacentral:rRNA from 1 species
GUGUCAGCAGCCGCGGUAAUACGGAAGGGGCGAGCGUUGUUCGGAAUCACUGGGCGUAAAGCGCGCGUAGGCGGCCGAGCAAGUGCGGCGUGAAAGUCCUGGGCUCAACCUGGGGACGGCGCUGCGGACUGUUUGGCUGGAGUCCGGAAGAGGGUGGUGGAAUUCCGAGUGUAGAGGUGAAAUUCGUAGAUAUUCGGAGGAACACCGGUGGCGAAGGCGGCCACCUGGUCCGGCACUGACGCUGCAGCGCGAAAGCGUGGGGAGCAAACAGGAUUAGAUACCCUGGUAGUCCACGCCGUAAACGAUGGGUGCUAGAUGUCGGGGGGCUUGCCCUUCGGUGUCGGAGCUAACGCGUUAAGCACCCCGCCUGGGGAGUACGGCCGCAAGGUUAAA